UACAGAGGAGCCAAGCGUUGUCCGGAUUGACUGGGCGUAAAGCGCACGCAGGCGGGUGUGCGCGUGGGGGGUGAAAUCUGGCCGCUUAACGGCCAGGCGCCAUCCCAUACGGCACGCCUGGAGUGAUGCAGAGGUCGAUGGAAUUGCCGGUGUAGUGGUGAAAUGCGUAGAGAUCGGCAGGAACACCCAGGGGGAAACCAGUCGACUGGGCAUCUACUGACGCUGAGGUGCGAGAGCGCGGGGAGCGAACCGG
rnacentral:rRNA from 1 species